GACUCCUUCACUAAUUCAAAAAUUAAGAAACUGUCAUUAGCUAAUUGUUGUAUGAUUGGUUGCUAUACUCAAACUUUUGAAGUAUUGAUGAAGAAUGCAAAUGAUGCUUUAUUUUUCUGAUGUUGCAUUUAACAUCUUGUUGUCACCUCUACUCUUGUUUGAAAAUGUAGCAUUGACAACACCAUGUAGUUGAAGUUAUGCAUUGGAAUAAG
rnacentral:misc_RNA from 1 species